GAUCGUGGCUCAGCGGUAGAGCGCUUGACUAGCAUGCGUGAAGCACUGGGUUUGAUCCCCAGCAUCA
rnacentral:tRNA from 1 species